rnacentral:rRNA from 1 species
GGGGAAUUUUCCGCAAUGGGCGAAAGCCUGACGGAGCAAUACCGCGUGAGGGAGGAAGGCUUUUGGGUUGUAAACCUCUUUUCUCAAGGAAGAAGCCAGUGACGGUACUUGAGGAAUCAGCAUCGGCUAACUCCGUGCCAGCAGCCGCGGUAAUACGGAGGAUGCAAGCGUUAUCCGGAAUCAUUGGGCGUAAAGAGUCCGUAGGUGGCUUCUCAAGUCUGCUGUCAAAGACCAGAGCUUAACUCUGGGACGGCGGUGGAAACUGGGAAGCUAGAGUUCGGUAGGGGUAGAGGGAAUUCCCAGUGUAGCGGUGAAAUGCGUAGAGAUUGGGAAGAACACCAGUGGCGAAGGCGCUCUACUGGACCGAAACUGACACUGAGGGACGAAAGCUAGGGGAGCGAAAGGGAUUAGAUACCCCUGUAGUC